CCUACGGGUGGCAGCAGUCGAGAAUCAUUCACAAUGGGGGAAACCCUGAUGGUGCGACGCCGCGUGGGGGAAUGAAGGUCUUCGGAUUGUAAACCCCUGUCAUGUGGGAGCAAAUUAAAAAGAUAGUACCACAAGAGGAAGAGACGGCUAACUCUGUGCCAGCAGCCGCGGUAAUACAGAGGUCUCAAGCGUUGUUCGGAAUCACUGGGCGUAAAGGGGGCGUAGGCUGUUUUGUAAGUCGUGUGUGAAAGGCGCGGGCUCAACCCGCGGACGGCACAUGAUACUGCGAGACUAGAGUAAUGGAGGGGGAACCGGAAUUCUCGGUGUAGCAGUGAAAUGCGUAGAUAUCGGGAGGAACACUCGUGGCGAAGGCGGGUUCCUGGACAUUAACUGACGCUGAGGCACGAAGGCCAGGGGAGCGAAAGGGAUUAGAUACCCGAGUAGUC
rnacentral:rRNA from 1 species